AUUUUUUUCAUCUAUUAUAUUCUAUAAUGGACUGUUGCUUACAUAUAUAAGCCCAAAACCAAAAGGCUAUUGAUUUUUCAGUGUUAGUUUCAUAUCCACUUAGAGGAUAAGACUCUCUUACUAUGGUUUCUUGAAGUACAAUGUUAUUAUCUACAAAUAAUAUAUUUGCUUUCUUCUUUCCACUGUCUUGUGUUUCUGGUACCUAAUUAAGUCAGCUAGAACACCCAAAACUAUAUCAAAUAUUCUUUGAGUGGGAAAUCUCAUUGUAUGAUUUUAGCUUGUUUUGAGAGCACUUUAAGAAGAAUACUCUUAGAUAUUUGUAGGUCUUCUCACUACAUUUUGUAUAACCCAAUUGCAUGCUACUUAUGUUUUGUUUGUUUGCUUGUUUUAGGAUUGUAACUCCAGAAGCUAGUUUAGCCUUUGAAACAUACAUACAUGGUGAUCAAAAGCUUACUGAAUGCGGAAGUCAGUGAAUGGAUGAAUAAAUGGCAUAGUUAUCUAAGGGAGAGGACUCAAGAUGGAGCUGUGAGAACAACCCAGGAUUGCAGCUCUCACUGGAUGCGUGGAGAGGGUGAGUCGGGGACGCAUUUCCAGACAAAUAUUAGUUGCCCACAGAACGGGGCAAUUCCCAGGUAUAAAAGAGACGUGGGACACCAGGCAGAGGUCUUGGCUAGUGUACCCGGCAGCCGUUGCGGCUACGGCCCACGCAGGAGCUCAGAUGCACUCCACAGCGCUCCAUACGAAAGCACUGUUACUGGUGCCCUGUUGAACUGGCAAACUGAGACCUGAGAGGGCUGAACUUGAGACUGAACGGGACUUGUACAGUGAGCCAGCCCAGGACAUCCCAGGGACACAGCGUUUGGGGUAGCGCAGUACGACAAACAAAACGGCGAUUCCAAAUGCUCCCGGUGAGGAGGUUCUCUUAAAGUGCAGCUUGGUGGGGGAGGGGCGUCCGUCAUUACUGAGGCAAUCAGCCCCUACUAAGGUACAUGCCCAUUGCUGAUGCAGCCUGCCGUUGCCGAGGCAACCCAGUACAACAGAGAGACUCCGCCACAGGGCGUAGCCCAUGGUAACAGGGCGGAGACCACAGCAGAAGGGCAGAGCCUGCAGCAACAGGGCGAACCUCACACCAGCAGGGAGGAGCCUCGGCAGGCAAAUAGUGACUACACUGCCUCCUAGCUGGGCAGGACAGUGAGGCGGACACUCACAAGGAAAGCCCCAACCCCCCCCCCAGACAGAGCAUCUGAGAAAAAAAAGUUUUUUUUAUGAGUUAUGUUGCAGCAGAAUUAAACA
rnacentral:lncRNA from 13 species